GAUGAACGCUGGCGGCGUGCCUAAUACAUGCAGGUCGAGCGAACAGACGAGGAGCUUGCUCCUCUGACGUUAGCGGCGGACGGGUGAGUAACACGUGGAUAACCUACCUAUAAGACUGGGAUAACUUCGGGAAACCGGAGCUAAUACCGGAUAAUAUAUUGAACCGCAUGGUUCAAUAGUGAAAGGCGGUUUUGCUGUCACUUAUAGAUGGAUCCGCGCCGCAUUAGCUAGUUGGUAAGGUAACGGCUUACCAAGGCAACGAUGCGUAGCCGACCUGAGAGGGUGAUCGGCCACACUGGAACUGAGACACGGUCCAGACUCCUACGGGAGGCAGCAGUAGGGAAUCUUCCGCAAUGGGCGAAAGCUUGACGGAGCAACGCCGCGUGAGUGAUGAAGGUCUUCGGAUCGUAAAACUCUGUUAUUAGGGAAGAACAAAUGUGUAAGUAACUAUGCACGUCUUGACGGUACCUAAUCAGAAAGCCACGGCUAACUACGUG
rnacentral:rRNA from 1 species